rnacentral:lncRNA from 12 species
GGAUGCUUGCUUUAUUUAUUUAUUUAUUUAUUUAUUUAUUUAUUUAUUUAUUUAAUUUUUUAAUUUUUUGAUUUUUUAUUUAUUUUUUUUAAUGGGGAUGCUUUAGCAGCCAUUCCGUCGCCUGCAGCGAGCCACGACCCACUCAAUGUCUAAAACAAAGCCUGCACGCAGUAGGGCCCCGACGGUGGUCGCGGAGAACCAUCCAGGGCCAGGGAAUCGUCAGCUCUGCCAGUGGACACGAUCGCCCCCCGGGCUCCGAGGAGACUGAGGCCCCUGUGGGGCCUCAGGCUGAACAGGGAGGCACACUUGUCACUCUGGGCCGCACCCGGUGUCAGGCAAGCCAUGAGCGAUGUCUCUCGGCACCCGCGUAGGCGGCUACGGCGACUCCUUCAUGGGGAUGGAGGACCGGCCUCGGAUGUUAGGGGGUUUCGUCACCUAGUUAAUGCUCGAGAAGCUCCAGCGCAUGCUCUUUGGGGGCUGCCUGGCUUUAGUGGGACGCGCAGAAGACCUGCUCGUGGGAAGGGAUGCACGGCCCCCGGGGGCGACCCGCAGCUGCGGAGCUGGGAGCUGUGUCGGCUGGCUGCAAUCAGAGACCACGCUUCAAAGAGGAUUUUGUGCCCGGGUCUCGGCCUGGGGUCCCCCGGGAGCCAGAGAUUCAAGGAAGCACGAUCUCGAGGCUCCUCAUGGGACGGACUGUCUCUGCCAUCGUGGAGAAAUGUCUCAGAUCUGGGCCCGUAGCAGGUUUCAUGCUCUGCUUCUAAAUCACGGUCCCCUAGAAGGACCCCAUCGGUCCAAGGACGCCAGCCGGGGGACCUGGGGCACGUCUCCAGCUCUGGGACUCACUGUUACUGACCCACGAAGGCGGUGGCGGGUGGGGGCUUCAGGCUCCACGCACACCUGGAGCGCCACCAUCACAGCAUCGCCUGGACGGGGCUCCCUCCGGGCUCUCCCGGGACAGGCCGCGUGCCGGCUCAUCGUCCUGACCACGCGGCAUCGUCCUUGACCACCGGCCUCUUCUCCCUCUGGGCCUUCCAGGUGCAUCUCUGUGACCUCAGAACCCAGGACAGACCCUGGUAUACAGCAGACACUCUCUAAGUGCUGCAAGUGUGUUCACCCACUCCGAAGCCCACAGUGCUCAUGUGUGUCUGUGGUUUCCCCUCUGCCCUGGACUCCCCAAAGGCAGAAGGACACGUCCUGCCUCAGGGCUCUCGGUGCCCCCGCCGAAGGGCUCGUGCCUGGGGUUGCGCCUGGGGACCCUCAGUGGCCUCCCCGUGAUUGCCGGCUGCCCCAGGACCCUCCGUCUGUGGCUCUGCGCAGGGCUGGGGCUCGCAGCUUCCCCCCUGUGCCCCCAGCCUCUCGGCUCCCAGACGCGACCUCAACCUUUCAGGUUUCCAAGGACUACGAAGUGUGUUCAUAAGUCCACGGAACGUGGGCUGAGCCCCAGACCUCGGAGACAGACACCCAGAGCAGUGGGGAGCAGGGGGACAGAGGCCCGGAGCAGGGGACCCCCAGGGGACAGACGCCUGGAGCACAGGGUGACCUGGGGGACAGAUGCCCGGAGCAAGGGGGGCCGGGGGGACAGUUGCCCAGAGCAGGAGGUCCCCGGGGGACAGACGCCCAGAACAUGGGGUGAUCUGGGGCACAGACACCUGGAGCAGGGGGGCCUGGGCAACAGAUGCCCAGAGCAAGGGGGGCCUGGAGAACAGACGCCCGGAGCACGGGGGUGCCUGGGGACACACGCCCGGAGC